UAGAAAACGCGCAAAUAUCUCUGACUGUUUUUUUUUUUUUUUUUUUGGUUUUUUUUUUUUUUUUUUUU
rnacentral:ribozyme from 1 species